UGCAGCAAAUCUGGAAAGGGACUUUUGGCAAGGGCAUGCAGUGACAGAACAAGGGCAAAUAGUCUUAAACUGAAAGAGGGUAGAUUUAGAUUAGACAUUAG